rnacentral:rRNA from 1 species
GGCUCAGGAUGAACGCUGGCGGCGUGCCUUAAGCAUGCAAGUCGAACGGGAUUUUGAGUCGCAAGAUUUAAAUUCCAGUGGCGGACGGGUGAGGAUAAGCAGGGAACGUACCCUUUUCUGUGGGACAGCUCGUCGAAAGACGGGGUAAUACCGCAUGAGGCCGUAAGGUCAAAGCGCUUAACCGCGCGGAGGAGGAGCGGCCCUGCAUCUAUCAGCUAGUUGGUGGGGUAAAGGCCUACCAAGGCGACGACGGAUAGGGGGUGUGAGAGCACGACCCCCCACAAUGGCACUGAGACACGGGCCAUACAUCUACGGAUGGCAGCAACUGGGAAUAUUCGGCAAUGGACGAAAGUCUGACCGAGCGACGCCGCGUGAGGGAUGAAGGUUCUUGGAUCGUAAACCUCUUUUGCCAAGGUCGACAGGCUUUGGCGAAUAAGCACCUACAAACUACGUGCCAGCAGUCGCGGUAAUACGUAGGGUGCGAGCGUUAUCCGGAUUUACUGGGCGUAAAGUGUCGUGUAGGCGGUAUGCCGCAUCGUAUCUGAAAGCUCGAGGCUUAACCUCGACGUUGGAUACGAGAUGGGUAAACUACGAGGAAUGGAGAGGAAAGGGGAACUCAUGGUGAAGCAGUGAAAUGCGUUGAUAUCAUGAGGAACACCGAAGGCGAAGGCACCUUUCUGGCCAUUUCCUGACGCUGAGACACGAAAGCUAGGGGAGCGAAGCAGAUUAGAGACCUGCGUAGUCCUAGCCCUAAACGCAUGUCUGCUAGAUGGGCAGAGCAAUCUGUCUGUCGUAAGCUAACGCGUUAAGCAGACCGCCUGGGGAAUACGAGCGCAAGCUUAAACUCAAAG